rnacentral:lncRNA from 1 species
UAAACCAAAUCUAAGCAUGAAUUCAUAUUAUCUACAUUCAAGGUCAUAUCAUCAAUUUAUGAAUACAUAAACUCCAAGCUGGCAACAAUCAAUUCUUUUGAUAUCAUUUAUACAAUUUGAACCCAGAAUAGGAAAAAAACAUCAGUUCUACGUUUGAAUAAACAAAUUUUCCAAAGAUUUUCAAAUCUGCAUAUGACAGUUUAACAGCAUCCUGUGAUCAAUCCUGAAACUCCAUUUCGUGUGCAUGCUUCUUAUGUCACAAAAAUGAGUGUAGAUACAAUCACAUUUUUAGACAAGAAAGAAAAUAGAGGAUAACAUGUCUGAUUGAUGACUUUAAACACAUACUAAGACAACAUUACAAUAUUUAAGCAAAUUUGUAGGACUUGAAACAAAGUUAAAAUAAAGGCAUACCAAGACAACAUUACAACCUUUAAGCAAAUUUGUAGGACUUGAAACAGAUUUAAAACAAAGGCAGAUUCACAUAGUCCUCAUUCAAGUGUAAUGUAUACACUAUUCAAAUCAAAAGUAGUACUUGAUUAUGGCACGAUCAACAAAAAUAGAAAAUAAGUCUUUGAAAUUGGAAUGAAUCAACAGCAAUAUCAAAAUAGCAGCAGCAGAAACAACAAGAAAUGAUGCUAAAUCAAACUCCAAAAGAACCCAGAAAAGUGAAAACCAAAUAGCAGAAAAUGAAGCCAAUUGAGAAGCUCCUCUUCUUUUUUUUGUUCUUUUUCGGAAGUUUUUAGGAUGUACUUCUCUUUUUGAAAUGAAGGUGAAGGGAAGGGAUUUUCUGAAAAUUGCAGUGAAUUCGUCUGUGUGUGAGUGAGGGAAUGUGAGUUCUUAUAUAGAAGAUGAGAGAAUAAUCUGAGGAGUAAAGUCCCUAAAAAUAAGGAAAAAGGGUAUUUUUUCUUAACAAAUUUGGACUAUUGUCCUCUUUUCUAACAACUGUCAUUUUCUCUAUUUUUCAGCACCUUUUCUACUUCUGAAAUUAACCUUUUUACCCCAAUUUCUAACCUAAUUCUCUGAUUUUUAUUGCACUUUAACUCUUCUCCAGAAGCUUCCUAAACAACUAAACAAAAUUUCCUAUUUUUCAGUGCCCUUUAGCCCCCUCAAAUUUUUGACCCCAGAUUUGACCUAAACUAUUUAUCUUAUUAGAUUUUGAUCCCUUAUCUCUAUUCUAGAACAUUCAAGCUAUUAACAAGAAAGAUUGUGCUAAUUUUUAAAUCCCUAAACGCCCUGAUCAAAACUAACAACUAAUUUAAUUUUAAUCUCAAGAUUUAGGACUAAAUGGCAUUAGUGACAACACUUAAUUAAUACGACAUCACAUUGAUAAACAACUACCAAUUAACCAACACUUAACAUACUUUAACACAACAUAAUUAAGACUAACAUAAUCGAAAUCUUAGUUAAUCUAACAAGCUACUGCUCUUAAACUGCUAAAUGCAAUCAAAACACACAAAACACUAAUUAAAAACAGUAAAUCAGACGGCUAAAAUGAAGAACAUGAAGGAUCAAAAAAGAAAAAUUACCCACUGACAAACACGAACAAGCUUAAGAAUCCGACCAAUGGUCGAUAUCAUUGUGCGAGCACUGAUUCAUGCUUGAAAGGCAGAACCAAUGCUACACGGAGAGAUAAUGACCAUGGCCGACAAGGAGGUUGAAUGGCCAAAUCCGAUAGUCAUCAAACGAUAUGAAACCAACAUCUUUUGGUAACUCUUAACACAAUCAGUCCAUUGAUGCGGGUUAUAACGUAAGACGGCUCGAACUUAGAAGAAAAAUCAAAAAAAGGAAAGCUAGGUUUUCUUAACUUCUUAGAUCUAAAAUCCGCGAAGUUGAAAGGAUUUUUGAAGGAAGUGGUUUGGGGAUUAGGAAUGAGGAGGAGAAGAAGGUUGUGUGGUGACGAUUUGGGAUCGUUUGGAGACUGUCCGCCGGUGAGGGAUUUUGGGUAUUUAGGGCGGCUAGGGUUGAAGAGUGAGAGAGAUGAGAGAAAUGGAAGGAGUUCUCAGGGUUUGGGGGUUCAGUUCCUAGCAGUCGGAUGAUGGAAGAUAAACGGUUGAGAUGGGGCGUUACUAAAACGUUGUCG